rnacentral:rRNA from 1 species
CCUACGGGGGGCUGCAGUGGGGAAUAUUGGACAAUGGGCGAAAGCCUGAUCCAGUCAUGCCGCGUGUGUGAAGAAGGCCUUCGGGUUGUAAAGCACUUUCAGCGGGGAAGAAAGCCUUCCGGCUAAUACCCGCGCUGAAGGACAUCACCCACAGAAGAAGCUCCGGCUAACUCCGUGCCAGCAGCCGCGGUAAUACGGAGGGUGCGAGCGUUAAUCGGAAUUACUGGGCGUAAAGCGCGCGUAGGCGGUCUGAUAAGCCGGUUGUGAAAGCCCCGGGCUCAACCUGGGAACGGCAUCCGGAACUGUCAGGCUAGAGUGCAGGAGAGGAAGGUAGAAUUCCCGGUGUAGCGGUGAAAUGCGUAGAGAUCGGGAGGAAUACCAGUGGCGAAGGCGGCCUUCUGGACUGACACUGACGCUGAGGUGCGAAAGCGUGGGUAGCAAACAGGAUUAGAUACCCCAGUAGUC